CGCUGGCGGCGUGCUUAACACAUGCAAGUCAUGGGGGCUCGCAAGAGCAACCGGCGAACGGGUGCGUAACACGUGAGCAAUCUACCGAUUUGUGGGGGAUAGCCGGCCCAACGGCCGGGUAACACCGCAUACGCUCACCGCGAGGAGUCUCGUGGUGAGGAAACCUCCGGGGCAAAUCGAGGAGCUCGCGGCCUAUCAGCUAGUUGGCGGUGUAAUGGACCACCAAGGCUCUGACGGGUAGCUGGUCUGAGAGGAUGGCCAGCCACAUUGGGACUGAGAGACGGCCCAGACUCCUACGGGAGGCAGCAGUGGGGAAUCUUGCGCAAUGGCCGCAAGGCUGACGCAGCGACGCCGCGUGUGGGAGGACGCCCUUCGGGGUGUAAACCACUGUUGCCCGGGACGAAUGCCCCUUUCGAGGGGAGUGACGGUACCGGGUGAGGAAGCACCGGCUAACUCCGUGCCAGCAGCCGCGGUAAUACGGAGGGUGCGAGCGUUGUCCGGAAUCACUGGGCGUAAAGGGCGCGUAGGCGGCUUCUUAAGCGUGCGGUGAAAGCUCGGGGCUCAACUCCGAGUCGGCCGUGCGAACUGGGAAGCUGGAGCACAGUAGAGGCGGGUGGAA
rnacentral:rRNA from 1 species